UACCAGAGUCUCUAGCCUGAACAUGCCCAGUGUCAUCCCAUCUUGGAAGCUAAGCAGGGUCAGGCUUGGUUAGUACUUAAAUCAGAGACUGCCUGGGAAUGCUAGGUGCUGUGGGCU
rnacentral:rRNA from 1 species